rnacentral:rRNA from 1 species
UGGGGAAUUUUGGACAAUGGGCGCAAGCCUGAUCCAGCAAUGCCGCGUGCGGGAUGAAGGCCUUCGGGUUGUAAACUGCUUUUGUACGGAACGAAAAGACUCCUUCUAAUAAAGAGGGAUCAUGACGGUACCUGAAGAAUAAGCACCGGCUAACUACGUGCCAGCAGCCGCGGUAAUACGUAGGGUUCAAGCGUUAAUCGGAAUUACUGGGCGUAAAGCGUGCGCAGGCGGUUAUGCAAGACAGAGGUGAAAUCCCCGGGCUCAACCUGGGAACUGCCUUUGUGACUGCAUAGAUAGAGUACGGUAGAGGGGGAUGGAAUUCCGCGUGUAGCAGUGAAAUGCGUAGAUAUGCGGAGGAACACCGAUGGCGAAGGCAAUCCCCUGGACCUGUACUGACGCUCAUGCACGAAAGCGUGGGGAGCAAACA